AUUGAACGCUGGCGGCAUGCUUUACACAUGCAAGUCGAACGGCAGCGCGGGGGCAACCCUGGCGGCGAGUGGCGAACGGGUGAGUAAUGCAUCGGAACGUAUCCUGUAAUGGGGGAUAACGUAGCGAAAGUUACGCUAAUACCGCAUACGCUCGAGAGAGGAAAGUGGGGGAUCGCAAGACCUCACGUUAUAGGAGCGGCCGAUGUCCGAUUAGCUAGUUGGUGGGGUAAAGGCCUACCAAGGCGACGAUCGGUAGCUGGUCUGAGAGGAUGAUCAGCCACACUGGGACUGAGACACGGCCCAGACUCCUACGGGAGGCAGCAGUGGGGAAUUUUGGACAAUGGGCGCAAGCCUGAUCCAGCCAUUCCGCGUGCAGGAUGAAGGCCUUCGGUUGUAACCCUUUCAGUAGGACGAAGCGCAAGUGACGGUACCUGCAGAAGAAGACACCGGCCAACUAACGUG
rnacentral:rRNA from 1 species